rnacentral:rRNA from 1 species
GAUGAACGCUGGCGGCGUGCCUAAUACAUGCAAGUCGAACGCGCAGCGAGAGGUGCUUGCACCUUUCAAGCGAGUGGCGAACGGGUGAGUAACACGUGGAUAACCUGCCUCAAGGCUGGGGAUAACAUUUGGACACAGAUGCUAAUACCGAAUAAAACUUAGUAUCGCAUGAUAUAAAGUUAAAAGGCGCUACGGCGUCACCUAGAGAUGGAUCCGCGGUGCAUUAGUUAGUUGGUGGGGUAAAGGCUUACCAAGACAAUGAUGCAUAGCCGAAUAGAGAGACUGAUCGGCAACAUUGGUACUGAGACACGGCCCAAACACCUACGGGAGGCUGCAGUAGGGAAUCUUCCACAAUGGGCGCGAGCCUGAUGGAGCAACGCCGCGUGUGUGAUGAAGGCUUUCGGGUCGUAAAGCACUGUUGUAUGGGAAGAAAUGCUAAAAUAGGGAAUGAUUUUAGUUUGACGGUACCAUACCAGAAAGGGACGGCUAAAUACGUGCCAGCCGCCGCCGUAAGAC